rnacentral:rRNA from 1 species
GACGAACGCUGGCGGCGUGCCUAAUACAUGCAAGUUGAGCGCUGAAGGUUUGUACUUGUGGCAACUUGAUGAGCAGCGAACGGGUGAGUAACGCGUGUGUAAUCUGCCUUUGAUCGGGGUACAACAUUUGGAAACGAAUGCUAAUCGGGUAUACAAACUUGAACCAUAAUUUUGAAUUGUAAAAUUCGCAGUUUCAGGAUCCACACAUGAUCCCUCGUUGUAUUAGCUAGUUGGUGAGGUAAAGACUCACCAAGGGGUUGUUAGAUAGCGGACCUGACAGGGCGAUCGGCCACACUGGGACUGAGACCCGGCCCAAACGCCCAGAGGAGGCAGCAGUAGGGAAUCUUCGGCAAUGGAUGAAAGUCUGACCGAGCAGCGCGGAGUGAGUGAAGAAGGUUUUCGGAUCGUAAAACUCUGUCGGUAGAGAAGAACGUUGGUGCGAGUGGAAAGAUGAGUAAGUGACGGUAACUAGCAAGAAAGCGACGGCUAACUACGUG